AUUGAACGCUGGCGGCAUGCCUUACACAUGCAAGUCGAACGGCAGCGGACCUUCGGGUGCCGGCGAGUGGCGAACGGGUGAGUAAUAUAUCGGAACGUACCUUUCAGUGGGGGAUAACGUAGCGAAAGUUACGCUAAUACCGCAUAUUCUGUGAGCAGGAAAGCAGGGGGAUCGCAAGACCUUGCGCUGAUUGAGCGGCCGAUAUCAGAUUAGCUAGUUGGUGAGGUAAAGGCUCACCAAGGCGACGAUCUGUAGCGGGUCUGAGAGGAUGAUCCGCCGCACUGGAACUGAGACACGGUCCAGACUCCUACGGGAGGCAGCAGUGGGGAAUUUUGGACAAUGGGCGCAAGCCUGAUCCAGCCAUGCCGCGUGAGUGAAGAAGGCC
rnacentral:rRNA from 1 species